GGAUCCUUAACCCACUGAGUGAGGCCAGGGAUCGAACCUGUACCCUCAUGGUCCCUAGUCGGAUUUGUUAACCACUGAGCCAUGACAGGAACUCCACAUAGAUAUUAUUUUUAAUAAAUAAAACAUUUUUGAUUUCUAUAACUUUUCUGCAUUUUGUGACUUUACUAAAUUCUGAUUGAUUUUAAAGAACUUUUCAAUGGAUUAUUCUGAGUUUUAAAAGGAAAAUUUUGUCUUUUUCCCUAAAUAAUUAUAAUUAGUUAUUCCUGUCUUACUGCACUGCCUAGCACUUUCAGAUCACCGACAGAAGUAAGAAUAUGAUUUUCAAAGAUAUUUUUAUUUAGGAAUUAAAGGGAUUAUCUUUGUGUUCAUUGUUAAGUUGUUUAAUGUUUUUCUUGUUUUUUUUUGUGUGUAUUUUUUGGGCUGCACCUGUGGCAUAUGGAAGUCCCUAGGCUAGGGGUCGAAUUGGAGCUGCAGCCGCUGGCCUACACCACAGCCACAGCAACCUGGGAUCUGAGCCGUGUCUGUGACCUACACCACAGCUCACAGCAACAUCAGAUCCUUAAGCCACUGAGCGAGGCCAGGAAUCAAACCCACCUCUUCAUGGAUACUAGUUGGGUUUGUCACUGCUGAGCCAUGAUGGGAACUUCCUAAUGUUUUUCCUUUUAACUAAAGUGAGGUCACAUUCUUCUCAUUUUUAUUUAAUAGGAAAUAUCUCAGAAAUAGAUAUUAAAUUUUAUUAAAUGUCUCUUGACAUGUAGAGUGUUUUUUCUUUGACUCCUUGAUGUGAUAUAUAUUUAAUAUUUGUCUUAAGUCAUAGUGCAUUCUAGUGCUAACUCAACUUGUCAUAUUGUAUAAGGUUUGAAGUUGUUAUUAAAGUUUUUGCUUGUAGUUAAUGUAGAAUAUUUAUGAUAGUUUUCACAAGUAGGAUUGGACUUGUGAAAAAAUUUUCUUUUGUGUUGCCUUUUUCAGGUUUAAGUAUGAGAGUUAACUUUACAAAAUGAGUUGGGUAGCUCUCUAUUUUUUUUCUAUCAUUUGGAAGAGCUUAUAUAUCCUUGAAAAAUUCUGUUUUAGAAUAUUUUAAAGAAUAGAUAAAAUGUAAGAUAGUGCAUCUUACAAUCAAGGGGAUGUUAGAAUUGAGUAAAUGAUAUAUUGUUUUGUUGCCAUUUAUAGGAUGAGAAAUCUGAGGCAGAGAGAGAUUAAAUCACUCACAACUACUAGUUGGUAGCAUAAAAUUUUGAAACCAGGUGGUCUGGCUCCAGAGUUUUGGCUUACACCCAGGCCCCCAUACUGCUGUAGUUUCUCCACAAGCUCCGUUACUGACUAUAUCCCUUACUCUUAGCUUCUCAUGCUGACUAGAUUCUGGCACAUUUGGCUGCUCCAAGCUUUAUUGCUUACUUGGAUUAGCAUAACUUCUUGGAUUUUCUGCGCCUCAUAUCGUUGAUACCUGUGUGCUGCGCUCAUUUCUCUGAUGCUCCAGUCUCUUGAAAUCCAGGGUCAAGCCCCAGGCCUGUCCUGCUCCCACUUCUUGCAACUAACCCAUAUUAGCUUACCUCACCCUCAUCUUGGCUUUUGGUGUCUGACUUCUGCUUCCCCUGUAUAAUUCAUUUAUUUUCUCAGUGUUCUAGAUACUGAUAGUGAUAUCAAGAAAGACUGGUAACAGUGAGCUUCUUAGAAUAGUGCCUCCAAAGAGAUUCUGACCAGAACACUAACCUGUGUCAUAGGAGUAUAGACUACAGAGAUACAUUCAAGUGUUCACACAUUUGUCCAUUUGCAAGCAGGCAUGAUAGUGCUGUGGUUUUACAUCUCAUCAUUUGAUGUAAACUCUUUCUCUCUGCAAAUCCUAAAAUAUCCUUAAAGUACUAAACUAAUAUUUUUCCCAGGGGUGAAGGCUGAGUGCAGGGAUCUUGUCUGGUAUGCUCUAGCUUCCCUUGUACUUACUGUAGAUUCAUACACAUAGUGAGUGCAUUUUUAAUGGAAUUUACUCCCUUGCAAUGCAUUUGGAUCCAAGGAAUUACAUUAUAUCCCCCCUGCAUUUAUUUUUCCGCAUUUCUGACAUGUCAUUUCCUGCCUAGGUGGGAAAUUUUUCUAUAAACAGAACACUUGCUUUCUGAUCAGAGCCUGUUCCAUACAUUAAGAAGGAGAAAGUUUUUUCACUGUGGCCUCAAGGGCAACUCUCUGGCUAAGGGCGAUGACUCAUCCUCCCAGGGUCUCCUUGCUGAAAGCUGCAAAUAUAUUCUGCAGAGGACACAGAGUACUGUGGUGUGUUUAAGAGAAAGCCCAGCCCCACCGGGCCAGGAAGCUCUGCAGUCACAAAGCUUUCAGUUGCAGGAGAGGAACCCCUUCGAAGGAAGGCAGACUCAGAGGAUUAAGUAGUGCCCCUGGGUGUUUUGGCAGUUUAAAAACGGUGCAAGCUUAUUUACUUAAAAUCCUAAGAAUCUGCUUAAUUGCAGAGCCUAGACGAUAACACUGAAAUGCAGAGAUAGUAAGAAAAUAUCAGGGCUCAAAAGCUAAAGAUCUUGGUGAAAUACAUCAACCGGGCAUAAACCAAAAUUGGUAUUUGGCUAUAUUUAUGCAAAUAGCUUAAUUUCUGAUAACACUUGUAAUUAUACAAUAAUUAUUGGGAAAUACAAGAAAACAGUUUUGUCUCUCAACCUACAUGGUAAAUUCCUUGUUGAACAUUUUCCCCAGGGAUGAGAACAUAAGGGAUAACAGGUCAUGGAAACUAUAUCCAUUCAACACACCUUUAUUAACUUGCUAGAAUAUGUUGUUCCAGGGGUGUUGAUAGGAUGGGGGAUGGAUAUAUGGGUGUAGAACGACCACCCACAAUCAAUUAGCAAGCAGCUUUGUUAAGUACUAUAUGACAUAAGAACACAUGAGAGACCCUUACUUUGGGGGAGGGGAAUGGCAGUGAUCAAGGAAAAGAUGGAUACUGAGUUGCAUUUGGAAGAACAGGUUAGAGUUUUCCAGGUGAAGAAAGGUGGAAUUAAUAUGGAAUGUUCCCCAUAAAGUGAGCAGCAUCUGCAAGGGAACAAAAUGUGAGACACCAUGUUACCUUUGGAGAACUCUAUGUAAAAUCGUUUGAUAUAGCUCCAGCUUAAAGGGAGAAAUGGCCAGGCUGAAGUGGAGAAAAGGUGGAUCAUGAACAGCCAUGCAUUAGGUUGGGUUCCCCUGAGAAACAGAUAUGAGUAAGGACUUGAGGGCCAGUGGUUAAUUUAGGAGGUGAUCCCAGGAAGCACUGGUGGAGGAGAGGGAAAUGAGAGCAGGCUACUGCUAUGGGCAAUUAGGGCUGAAUCCACUGGGGAUCUCUGGAGUGACUGUCCCUCUCUGAAUUGUCUUAUCUGAGGGCUGGGAGCUGGGGUGUAUAUCCAGGAAUCUCUCAUCUGUUAUUGGGUGACGGAUGCUCCCAGGAGUGUUACCUCCCUGGAUCUUUGGGCUUUUCCCUGAGAGUGAGGAAAGCCCUCAGGAAGAGUCUUACUGGUGCUUGUGGUAACAAACUGUGGGCAUGUACAAGAAAGGUGCAUUUCAAGGGGUUAAGAAUGGGACAUGUCUGCAUCUACAGUUGGCCAUGUAUGCCAUGCUAAGGGUUUAGGAUUUUAGCCUUAGGAAAAUGGGAAACUACUCAAUUAUUUUAAUCUGAGGGUUGGUUAUAUAAUGAGAUUUGCAUUUUAGACAAUUUUUUUCAGGUGUCACUAAUAAGAAUGGCACAACACUGGUAGGGAUAGACAUUUAGGAUGUUUUGCUCAAACUUGGAGGAGAAAUCAUGAGGGCCUGACUCUUCCAAAAAAGAGAGUCCUCAUUUGUAGAGUUUGUUGAUUCCCAUGGUUUAAGUACUCCCAAAAUAGCCAGUUUUAAGCUACUAAUGUGAUGUCACUGAAUACUGAAUCAGCUCUCACCCCACCAUACUAUGGGCUGGACCUGAAGCAGUGGUGGUGAGAUGAAGAAUAAAGAAAGUAUCUGAAGAAAAAUUGAGUAGACUAAUAACCACUAGAGGGGAUAGGAUGUAAUGAGGCAAAAAGAAUGACACUCAUAUUUUUGCCUUCUGUAUCUAAUUAGGUGAUAGCAUCCUUCACCAAGAUAGGGAAUUUAGAAUAAUGACAAUGAAAAUAUUGAUGAUAGUAGUACUAGUAGUAGCAAAUAGAAUGCUUCCCAUGUGCCAGGAACUACCUAAGCCCUUUACACAUAAUUUUUUUAGUCUUCAGACUAAUAAUCUUGAGGUUAUCAUUAUUAUACCUCUUUUACAGAUGAGGAAAUGUAGAGAGGAAAUGUAGAGAGGUUAAUUCAUUUACCCAGUCUCAUUAUGUGGCUGCACCAGGAUUUCAAAUUCAGGCAACCUGACACAGAGUCCAUGCUCAUACUGACACACCAGCAGAUUUAAUAGAAGGAGAUGAUUUUAAUUUUUGACAGAGUGAAAUGGAGUGUCUACAGGAUAUGUGGCUGGAGAGGUUUACCAGGCAUUUGGCCCCAUGAGUGUGAAGCGUAGAGAUGGAUUUGGGGUGAAAAUAAUGUAUUUGUGAAUCUUCUGUGUGCUGGUAUUUAAGCCAAGGGAGAAGAUGAGAUGAACCAAAGUAAAUGCAUACAAUGAGAUGAUAAGGGAUCUUUGGGACAGGGCUUAUAGAAAAGAAUAUUUACAGAUUUGAUAAGGAAGAGAGGGCAAUGAGAGGCAAGAUUAAAAACAAGGAAGAGGAGUAUUGUGACAAAAAAGGGAAACAUUUAGGAAGAAGGAAGUUAAAAAAAAUAAAAUAAAAUCAC
rnacentral:lncRNA from 1 species